rnacentral:miRNA from 1 species
GUGUAUGCUAGUCUUGACAUCU